AUGGGAGACGAAUGUUCAAACCCACAUCUCCUCGCUAAGCCUGGAAGCUCGCCACAGUGGGAUCACGGGACCCCGAGGGAAGAGGCUGAGAAUGAGUCCAGCAUCCGCGUUCCUCGGGUUUUAAAAGCACAUCUGGGGCCAGAGACUGCAUAGCCAACUAAACGGAGUAAACGCGACAGGUGGAGGAGGCAGAGUUGUCAGGGGCCAAGCCCGGCGCGAUCUGGCCAGAGUCUUGGGGAGCGCGGACCUGGGACUGCAGAGAGGCGUUUUGAAGCGUGCUGCGCGCACCUGCCUCUUGGAGAUAUUCGGCCACCCGGGCGUCUCCUGAGAUCCCGCAGUCCACAGACCCCGGGAGGGCUGCCUGCCCUAGGACACGUCCUCUCUCGACCCCUCACUCUUUCAAAACUGGGGAAGAGGCGGAGGGGAUGAAAAAGAAGAAAGAGAGAGAGAAUGAAAGAGAGAAAGAAGGAAAGAAAUUUAAAAAAUAUAUUAAAGGGAGGGAAGAAUGGAGGGAAGGCGUGGGAGAGGGAAGAGGGGGGAAACUCUUAUCGCCACAACCAAAGCAGGAUGCCUCCGCUUCCUGAAUUUCUACAUAUGACUUUCAUUAAGUUUCUUCCUAGACCUUAA